GAUGAACGCUAGCUACAGGCUUAACACAUGCAAGUCGAGGGGAAACGACAUCGAAAGCUUGCUUUUGAUGGGCGUCGACCGGCGCACGGGUGAGUAACGCGUAUCCAACCUGCCCACCACUUGGGGAUAACCUUGCGAAAGUAAGACUAAUACCCAAUGACGUCUCUAGAAGACAUCUGAAAGAGAUUAAAGAUUUAUCGGUGAUGGAUGGGGAUGCGUCUGAUUAGCUUGUUGGCGGGGUAACGGCCCACCAAGGCAACGAUCAGUAGGGGUUCUGAGAGGAAGGUCCCCCACAUUGGAACUGAGACACGGUCCAAACUCCUACGGGAGGCAGCAGUGAGGAAUAUUGGUCAAUGGACGAGAGUCUGAACCAGCCAAGUAGCGUGCAGGAAGACGGCCCUAUGGGUUGUAAACUGCUUUUAUAAGGGAAUAAAGUUAGUCUCGUGAGACUUUUUGCAUGUACCUUAUGAAUAAGGACCGGCUAAUUCCGUG
rnacentral:rRNA from 1 species